GCUGCUCUAACGGGGUGCCUUUUGUUCCAUCGGGACGAAAUGCUGAGAGGCGAAAGCCAACCCGCGGAACCUGAUCCGGUUAACACCGGCGGAGGGAUUAGACGCGUCGAUCGC
rfam:Rhizobium sp. PDO1-076 strain PDO-076 ctg211, whole genome shotgun sequence.